rfam:Camelus ferus unplaced genomic scaffold scaffold657, whole genome shotgun sequence.
GAGGGUAUAGCUCAAGUGGUAGAGUGCAUGCUUAGCAAGCAUGAGGUCCUGGGUUCAAUCCCUGGUACCUCCU